ACCCUUUUUCUCAAGCAUAAAUGGCAAUCAAAUUGCAGAAAGACUAGCCCAUUUUCCAAGUUCAUAAGGAUCAGCAUAGUAAUACAACUUAAUCCUAUUUGAUAAAGACAGCCCAGCUGCUAAAGGCGCGGCUCGUAAGUCAUAAUCGUCCUGUUCUGCUGGGUCAUCUGUGAAUGCUGCAACAUCACCCAGAAGCUUGAAGGAAACUCUGCGGGUUUGAAUCUGUCUGGGAAAGUCAAAGUACAUUGAGGUUCCG
rnacentral:misc_RNA from 1 species